GACAGAGGUGCCGAGCGUAGGCGGAAUCACUGGGCUUAAAGCGUGUGUAGGCGGGUCGUUAAGUGUCUUGUGAAAUCCCACCGCUCAACGGUGGAACCGCUGGGCAUACUGGCGAUCUUGAGCAGUCCAGGGGCGAGCGGAACAAGCGGUGGAGCGGUGAAAUGCGUAGAUAUCGCUUGGAACGCCGACGGUGAAAACAGCUCGCU
rnacentral:rRNA from 1 species